rnacentral:tRNA from 1 species
GAGCCCGUAGCUCAGUUGGUAGAGCACCGGACUUUUAAUCCGGGUGUCGCGCGUUCGAGCCGCGCCGGGCUCACCA